rfam:Myotis lucifugus cont2.3281, whole genome shotgun sequence.
GGUGGUUCUCAGAUGAUGCACCCUGGAAUCAGGCUCCCUCCUCUCUGGUUCUGGGUGCAUCACCUGAAAACAGCA